CGUAAUUAUGCAGGUAGCUCUAUUGAGAAACUCGAUCAAGUUAGCUCAUAAGCAGCUAAAAGUCUGGAUGGCACCAGAUAAGGCAAAGACGUCUUAAACAACGUUUCCUGCAUCAGCCAAAAUUGUGUCAGAACCUCUCGGACUGGUCCUUGUAAUCUAGGCUUGGAAUUAUCCUUUUAUGUUGUCUAUUGAUCCUGUUAUUGGUGCGAUUUCUGCCGGGAAUGGUGUUUUGUUAAAGCCAUUAGAACUGGCUCCAGCUUCUUCUUCUCUGCUCGCAAAGUUACUGGAACAGUAUCUAGACCCUUGUUCAGUGAGGGUUGUAGCAGGGGCUGUUACUGAAACAACUCUGCUGCUGGAGCAGAAGUGGGACAAAAUAUUCUACACAGUUCGAGAAUUGGGCGUAUCAUAAUGACGGCAGCUGCGAAGCAUCUCACCCCGGUUUCUCUGGAGCUUGGGGGAAAAUCUCCUGUUGUCAUUGAAAGUUCAGAGACACCCAAAUUAUAACUCACAGACAAGAGAUUUCAAGAACACUUUCUUGUAAAUUAGAAACCUUUUAAACAAUCCCCUAGAUCUGUUUAAUCUGAUAUAUGCUCAGUCACACACGACUAGCAACAUACCAGUUUCUAAUCUCUAAAUCACAGAGACCCAAGCUAAACACUUGUUACUUGAUCUCUGUAGCCGACAAGAACAAACCUCUUGUUCUAGCUUUUUCUCUCUUAAUGCUUAACCUAAAACUCUCUUAGAUUAUCUCAUUAAGUAGACACGAAAAAGACAAUAUUCUAUUUCCUAAAAUCU